CGACCUGGCAGGGUUUGCACCCCUAGCUCCCCCAGUACUCCCAGAGGGCAGCACUGCCCACAGGACAGACGACCGGUACUGUGUGGCUGAGCAGAGGCCACCGCAGCUGGCAGCCUCCUGACCCAGAGAGCUGGACUCAGCUGGGAUGGGGCACAAACAUCCGCUCUGCUCAGCACGUCAGAGUUUGUUCUGACCUAAAGUUUAGGUGUCACCUGAAUUAAGAGCAGAAGACUGUUAAAAUGUUUAUUUACUGUAUGUAAUGAAAAUUUCUGAAAUUUCCUAAGAAAAUUACUGAAACUUUCUAAGACAA